ensembl:lncRNA PPP5D1P PPP5 tetratricopeptide repeat domain containing 1, pseudogene
AAACUGGGGCGAGCCACUGCAAGGUGGUGGUGGAACCAGUCGUGUGGUCUCAUCUCACUGCAAGUGGAUGGAGAAAUAUAUUUUCUCAUGUGCCUUUGAAGAAGGAACUGGAAACAGAAUUUGGUGGUCAAGGUGAAGCCCCACGACAAGGAUGCCAAAAUGAAAUACCAGGAGUGCAACAAGAUCGUGAAGCAGAAGGCCUUUGAGCGGGCCAUCGCAGGCGACGAGCACAAGCGCUCCGUGGUGGACUCGCUGGACAUCGAGAGCAUGACCAUCGAGGGUGAGUACAGCGGACCCAAGCUUGAGGACGACAAAGUGACAAUCACCUUCAUGAAGGGGCUCAUGCAGUGGUACAAGGACCAGAAGAAACUGCACCAGAAAUGCGCCUACCAGGAUUUCAGACAAAAAUCAGGAAUCAUCACCAGCCAAGACUGUGUUCAGACCACGUGACGUCUUCCAGGCACCAGGAAGAAAUACGACCAACCUCCGUAACAAAUGAGAGAAACUUCACCUGACUGUGUUUUGUGCAUUUGGUUUAUGAGUCGUUUUAAAAACGUGUACUUUUACUGCUGCGUUCAGGUUUUCAGCCAUAGAAUAUUCUAGAAAAAAAUAGUGAUAACAUUUAUUUCACCGCUAUAACCCUGAAUGUGUAGCUGUGUUUUUUAAAAAAACAUUUUUUUACAAUUGUAGAAUAUGUAACAUGCCUCCAGAAACGUGCCCUAAACACAAAUAUAUAAUUUGGCAAAUAAU